rnacentral:rRNA from 1 species
AUAAUAAUUAGUCUUUUAAAUGGAGGCUGGAAUGAAAGAUUGGACGAGGUAAAUUCUGUCUCAUUUAAAUUAAAAUUUGAAUUUAAUUUUUAAGUUAAAAAGCUUAAAUUUUAUUAUAGGACGAGAAGACCCUAUAGAGCUUUAUAUUAGUAUAAUAAAUAAUUUUUAAUUUUUUUUUAUUAAUUAUUUUAGUAUUUUGUUGGGGCGACAGGAAAAUUUAUUAAACUUUUUUAAUUUUUAAUACAUUAAUUUAUGAAUUUUUGAUCCUAAAUUUUAGAUUAUUAGAUUAAGUUACCUUAGGGAUAACAGCGUUAUUUUUUUUUAGAGUUCAUAUUAAUAAAAAAGAUUGC